AACAUCACAGCCUUUAUUCACUAGAUCAACCAGAAAUCAACCAGAAAUAACAACAGAGUAAAGGAAAGCGAGCAAUAAACGACACCGAGUGACAUCUGGAAGAGGAGGAGAGAUGACCAGCGGAGGGGACUGAAGUAACAUCUCUCAGGCAUCAGACUGGUUUGUUCCUGUGUUGGAAACACUGGAGCGUUUGUGAUGACAGGAGAGACGUGCCGCUCGUCCAGCACUGCAGACCUCACGCCACAAACACACCGUUCCCUUUCUAUAUCCGUCCUGACGCACACGUCCCUCUGCAGACCGGAGAGAGGCUUGAUCCUGAGCUUUAACACCAGACUCAAUCAGGUCAGGAGGAGCUUCUCAUCAAUGACUCGUGGAUAGACGCUUUUAAAGAAUGUUGCUCUUAAUUGAUUUAUGCCAUGAAGCUGGAAAGGGUGUGUGUGUGUGUGUGUGUGUGUGUGUGUGUGUGUGUGGGUGGUUGUUUAACCAUUCACUAAAUUUACAUUGGCAGUUCUUCUGGGAGGUUUGGCAUAUUAAAACAGAUGGUUUGUUCUGGUACUUUAUUACUAAGAAUGAAUUCCUGAAUUAUAAAUAAACCUUAAUACAAUACAUUAUAUUUCUCAGUUUAUACUGUAGAUUUGUAUGAAACAAAAAUAGGCUUAAUAUACAAAACAAAACAAAAACACAUUUAUUUUACAUGUACUGAACAGAAAUAAACACAUGCUGUAUAUUUAAUCUCAGGAUCAGUUAUCCAGACUCAUGGCUGAUGUAUUUUCAUUUGAUGUUUAAAAUAAGCAGAUUUCUUUUUUGCAAAUGUAACUCUUUCAACAUCAUUCACAUAUGAAACAUAUAUAAAUACUGUACAUCUCACAUGUGAAAGUCAUUUAAUGAUCUUUGGUGUAUGCUGACGUAUCACUGAUGCACUAAAUACGUUUCUUGUGAUUUGCUUGUUUGAUUUAGUUUGUCAAUUAUUUUAUUAGUUUGUUAUUAUUUUAUUCUGUUUUAUUCUUUGUUUUAAUUGUGAUUUAGUGUCAUUUACUAUUGCAAUUUUAGUCUGUAAUUUAUCAUGUGUUAAAUAUUUUUUUGUAGUGUUUUAUUUUUAUAUUUCAUAUUUUUGAUGUAACAAUUUUAAAUAAAUGAUUUAUGUUCUUGGUUCUAACAAGUUUUAAACACUUAUGAUAGAAAGUGAAAAAAGUGAUACAUAAAAUAGAAUAAAAUAAAACAGUAAAAUACUGUAUAUAUUCCAACUGAAUAUAUAAAUAAAUUAAAUAUUUACAGAUUUGUUGAGAUUUACAGCAUUUACAGUAAACUAUAGUUACAAAGCCCACAGCAGCACGUUUAUUUAUUUAUUUAUUUAUUUAUUUAUUUUUUGUUUGACCAUCGCUGACAAAGGCUUUGUAAAGCUGUUUAUUUUUUUCAUAAAUUACAAUUUAUGUUGGAAACUAUUAAGUGUGAAAUAUAAUAUUUUUGUUCUGAUGGUGUCUAAUGGCCUUGGACUUACACUGUAUUAUUAAUCAUUUUUAUUAAAUGAAUUUUCUUUUAGACAUUUGCGUUUAAAUAUGGUCAGUGUUCUCUGUGUAUUCAGAUCACACACGCUGAUUUGUGCCACUAUAAGCACAGAUGUUAUGGCAUCUCUGAGCUUGACCUCCAUCUGUCCGUCUGUCUCAUUCCCAUGUAUAUUUGCUCCUGAUCUAUUAAUAACCGCAGCGCUGCGAGCCAUCGCUCAGUGUCUACGUCUCCUUUCAUUCAAGCAUUUACAGGAAUUAAAAACAAAAGCAAACAGCCAUCACAGUGCAGAAGAGAAAUGCUGGCAGAGACUCUUACUGACAGAAAGUUAAAUACUGGAGAGCUCUGGAUUCCCCAUUAACAUGCUGUUUAUUUACAGUUGUGCCUUUUGUGCAAAAA